rnacentral:rRNA from 1 species
AGUCUGGUGCCAGCAGCCGCGGUAAUUCCAGCUCCAAUAGCGUAUAUUAAAGUUGCUGCGGUUAAAAAGCUCGUAGUUGGAUCUCAGUCUCGGUCGGACGGUCCGCUUUAUAGUGGUACGGGACGAAUCGGACAUUCAGCCGCCUUUCUCAGUAUGCUCUUUACUGAGUGUAUUGGGACAGUGGCGCUUUCACUUUGAAAAAAUUAGAGUGCUCAAAGCAGGCUCACGCCUGAAUCUUCGUGCAUGGAAUGAUGGAAUAGGGCCUCGGUUCUAUUUUGUUGGUUUCCGGAACUCGAGGUAAUGAUUAAGAGGGACGGACGGGGGCAUUCGUAUUGCGACGUUAGAGGUGAAAUUCUUAGAUCGUCGCAAGACGAACUACUGCGAAAGCAUUUGCCAAGAAUGUUUUCAUUAAUCAAGAACGAAAGUCAGAGGUUCGAAGGCGAUCAGAUACCGCCCUAGUUCUGACCAUAAACGAUGCUGACUAGCGAUCCGUCGGCGUUACAACACAUGACCCGACGGGCAGCUUCCGGGAAACCAAAGUUUUUAUGUUCCGGGGGAAGUAUGCGUUGCAAAACUGGAACUUAAAGGAAUUGACGGAAGGGCACCACCAGGAGUGGAGCCUGUGGCUUAAUUUGACACAACACGGGAAAUCUCACCAGGCCCGGACACUAGCAGGAUUGACAGAUUGGUAGCUCUUUCUUGAUUUGGUGGGUGGUGGUGCAUGGCCGUUCUUAGUUGGUGGAGUGAUUUGUCUGGUUAAUUCCGAUAACGAACGAGACCCCGUCCUACUUACUAGACCGAGGAUCCUCUCGUUCUCGCGUCUUCUUAGAGGGACAAAUGAUUUUACCUUGAACUACAUGAAAUGGGGCAAUAACAGGUCUGUGAUGCCCUUAGAUGUUCUGGGCUGCACACGCGCUACACUGAAGGGAUCAUCGUGUUAACUAGCUCGAGAGAGCUUGUCAACCCGUUGAAUUCUCUUCGUGCUAGGGAUUGAGGCUUGCAAUUGUUUCUCAUGAACGAGGAAUUCCCAGUAAGUGCAAGUCAUAAGCUUGCGCUGAUUACGUCCCUGCCCUUUGUACACACCGCCCGUCGCUACUACCGAUUGGAUGAUUUAGUGAGGACUUCGGACUGGCUGCUCGUGGGGUAAAACCUGCAAGCGGAUCGGGAAGAUGUUCAAACUGUAUCAUCUAGAGGAAGUAAAAGUCGUAACAAGGUU